rnacentral:rRNA from 1 species
AAUAGCCUAACGGCUGAACCAGCAACUUGAAGGAAUGUAUAGCGAAAGCUAGUUGUGUUAAACUUAGCGGAAACGCAUAGUUAGCGCAAUAUUGACUAUGUCAAAUAAAGUUCUAGGUAAAAUUAUGAUGAUGACAUUGUUUACCUAUGUGUCUUGACCAAAUUACGUGCCAGCAGUCGCGGUAACACGUAAAAGACUAGUGUUAUUCAUCUUGAAUAGGUUUAAAGGGUACCUAGACGGUCAAUCAAGCCCCAAAAGGGUACUAAUGGGCUAGAGUUUAAUAUAAGGAGGCUUAAAAGUACUGAGAAUGUAGAGAGAUGAAAUUCUGUGAUACUAUAUAUGGCACUGGUAAAGGCGAAAGCAUCUUCUUAUGUAAUAACUGACGUUGAGGGACGAAGGCUGUGUGUAGCAAAAAGGAUUAGAUACCCAAGUAGUCUCAGCAGAAAAUGAUGAAUGUCAUAGGAUAGAUAUAUUUUGUACUAUAAAUGAAAGUGUAAGCAUUCCACCUUAAGAGUAAUUUGGCAACAUUGGAACUGAAAUCAUUAGACCGUUUCUGAAACAAGUAGUGAAGUAUGUUGUUUAAUUUGAUGGUCCGCAAAAAACCUUACCACAAUUUGAAUAUAAAAAAUUUUUAUACAAGCGCUGCACGGUUGUCUUCAGUUAAUGUCGUGAGAUUGUGGUUAGUUCCAUUAAAUUAACGUAAACCCUUACUUUAUUUUUCUAUAAAGUAGUUCACCGCUAGAUUGGAUGUGAUAAUAGGGACUAAGACAAGUCAUCAUGGCCUAAAUAUUGUGGGCUAUAGACGUGCCACAUAUGCCUUUACAAAGGGAUGCGAAAUUGUGAAAUUGAGCUAAUCCCCUAAAACAGGAUAGAAGUUUAAU